rnacentral:rRNA from 1 species
GACGAACCGUGCGAACGUUGUUCGGAAUCACUGGGCUUAAAGGGCGCGUAGGCGGUUGAUCAAGUCUGGGGUGAAAUCUUUCGGCUUAACCGGAAAAGUGCCUUGGAUACUGGUCAGCUGGAGGGAGGUAGGGGCAGUUGGAACUUCCAGUGGAGCGGUGAAAUGCGUUGAUAUUGGAAGGAACGCCGGUGGCGAAAGCGAGCUGCUGGACCUCUUCUGACGCUGAUGCGCGAAAGCUAGGGGAGCAACGGG